AUUCAUUGUCAUUGUCGUUAAAAAUAAUUAUUUUAUUUUUAUUUAUAAUUUAUUUAAUAAAAAUAAUUUAAAUUUAAUUUUGUUUAGUAUUUUAUAUAAAAAAAAUAUUAUAAGAUUUAUAUAAAUUUGUAUAGUAAUAGAUUAUUGAAAUAGUUGAAAAAUUAUUAAUUAAUAAGAAAAUUUAUUUUAUUGUACCUUGUGUAUCAGGGUUUAUUAAAUAAAAUAUUCUGAUAUAAUCAUAUUUCUCGAAUUUAAGAAAUCUAUAAAUUUACUUAUUUUAUUGUAUUAAAAAUAUUAUAUAUAAAAUUAUAGAAAUGAAACGUUAUUCGUUCUUAAAUAUAUCUAGUUUUUUUAGAAAUAAAUUUAAUUUAUAAAUUUAUUAUUAAAUAAAAUAAUUAAUUAUUUUAUUUAAGUUUAAAUUUAAAUUUUUAAAGGGAUAAGCUUUUAAAGAUAUUUUGUAAUAAAUUUUAGUAAUUUAUUAAAAAUAUAGACUUAGAAAUAGUUAUUAAUAAUAAUUAUGUAAUAAUUUAUUAAUAAAUUAAUAAUUAUUUAUUAUAUUUUUACUUUUUAUAAAAAAUUAUAUUUUUAAUUAUUUAAUUUAUUAAAUAAUGAUAAAAUUAGUAUAAUAAAUAAUUUUAUAAAUAAAAAUUUAUUAAAGAAAUUAAUUUAAAGAAUUCGGCAAAUUUAAUUUUCACCUGUUUAUCAAAAACAUGUCUUUUUUGUUAAAUAUAAAGUCUAACCUGCCCAUUGAAUAAUUUAAAAGGCUGCGGUAUUUUGACCGUACAAAGGUAGCAUAAUCACUAGUUUUUUAAUUGAAAACUUGUAUGAAUGGUUGAAUGAGAAAUUUACUUUUUUUAAAAAAAUAUUGAAUUUUACUUUUUAGUUAAAAGGCUAAAAUAUUUUUAAAAGACGAGAAGACCCUAUAGAGUUUAAUAAUUAAUUAAUUAUAAUUUAAUAGGUUUAUUUUUAUUAAUAAUUAAUAAAAUAUUUUGUUGGGGUGAUAAUAAAAUUUAAUUAACUUUUAUUUUAUACAACCAUUAAUAUAUGAAUAUUUGAUCCAUAAUUUAUGAUUAAAAAUUUAAAUUACCUUAGGGAUAACAGCGUAAUUUUUUUUUAAGUUCAUAUUAAUAAAAGAUUUUGCGACCUCGAUGUUGGAUUAAGAUUAAAUUUUAGGUGCAGCAGCUUAAGUUUUAAGUCUGUUCGACUUUUAAAUUCUUACAUGAUCUGAGUUCAAACCGGUGUGAGCCAGGUUGGUUUCUAUCUUUAAAUUUAAUUUAAGUAUUUUAGUACGAAAGGAUUAAAUACUUUAUAAAUUAUAAUUUAUUUUAAAAAGAAUAAUUUUAAUUAAUAGUAUUAAAUUGUU
rnacentral:rRNA from 1 species